GGCGGCGUGAGGGCAAGGCCGGAAACGUCGGGUCCUCCUCUUGCCCUCCCCUUCCGGCUCACUUCCGCCUACUCCGCCCUGGUCCCCAGACCGGAAGCGCAGCGGUUUAACUAGAUCUUGCUCCUCUGAGUCCAAACCCCAGCGCCGCCAAGAUGCCGGCUUACCACUCUUCCCUCAUGGACCCCGACACCAAACUCAUUGGAAACAUGGCCCUGUUGCCUAUCAGAAGUCAGUUCAAAGGACCUGCCCCUAGAGAGAUUUUCGGUGCUGAGGAUCG